CUCUUUGGUGAUCAUAGUAACUUCACGAAUCGCAUAGCCUUGUGCUGGCGAUGGUUCAUUCAAAUUUCUGCCCUAUCAACUUUCGAUGGUAGGAUAUAGGCCUACCAUGGUUUCAACGGGUAACGGGGAAUUAGGGUUCUAUUCCGGAGAGGGAGCCUGAGAAACGGCUACCACAUCCAAGGAAGGCAGCAGGCGCGCAAAUUACCCAAUCCCGACACGGGGAGGUAGUGACAAUAAAUACUGAUACAGGGGCCUUUUGGUUCGUGUAAUUGGAAUGAGUACAAUUUAAAUCUCUUAACGAGGAACAAUUGGAGGGCAAGUCUGGUGCCAGCAGCCGCGGUAAUUCCAGCUCCAAUAGCGUAUAUUAAAGUUGUUGCAGUUAAAAGGCUCGUAGUUGAACCUUGGGCCUGGCCGGCCGGUCUGCCUCACCGCAUGCACUGGUUUGGUUGGGCCUUUCCUUCUGGGGAGCCGCAUGUCCUUUACUGGAUGUGUUGGGGAACCAGGACUUUUACUUUGAAAAAAUUAGAGUGUUUAAAGCAGGCAUUGGCUCGAAUACAUUAGCAUGGAAUAAUAGAAUAGGACGCGUGGUUCUAUUUUGUUGGCUUCUAGGACCACCGUAAUGAUUAAUAGGGAUAGUCGGGGGCAUCAGUAUUCAAUCGUCAGAGGUGAAAUUCUUGGAUCGAUUGAAGACUAACUACUGCGAAAGCAUUUGCCAAGGAUGUUUUCAUUAAUCAGGGAACGAAAGUUAGGGGAUCGAAGACGAUCAGAUACCGUCGUAGUCUUAACCAUAAACUAUGCCGACUAGGGAUUGGGCGAUGUUCUUUUUUGACUCGCUCAGCACCUUACGAGAAAUC
rnacentral:rRNA from 1 species